rnacentral:rRNA from 1 species
UACGGGGGGGGCAAGCGUUGUUCGGAAUUACUGGGCGUAAAGGGCUCGUAGGCGGCCAACUAAGUCGGAUGUGAAAUCCCCAGGCUUAACCUGGGAACUGCAUCCGAUACUGGAUGGCUUGAAUCCGGGAGAGGGAUGCAGAAUUCCAGGUGUAGCGGUGAAAUGCGUAGAUAUCGGGAGGAACAUCAGUGGCGAAGGCGGCUGCCUGGCCCAAUACUGACACUCAGGUGCGACAGCGUGGGGAGCAAACAGG